AAUACGUUUCUGUUGUGUUAAGCUGUCCAGUGCGUGAUAACGUGUUAUGGUGGCUCCACCAAACUAAUACGGCUUCGAUGGCUGGACUCCUUUCCCAAGGUCACCUCCGGGUCUCAUGUGGUGCCUGCACUUCAGACGAACCAUCUGCAUUCCAGCCACAAAGAAGGAGGAAGGAAGAAGAAAACAAAGACACAACUUUCCCCUGACUGACACAUCCCAGAUGUCGGGCCAUCGUUUCUGCCCUCAUCCCCUUGGGCUGUAGAUGAAGUACCGAGGAGCAUGCGGCCAGCUAAGAAUGCUUUUAUUGCUGUGGGAAAAGACGAGAAGGGUAAUCGGGCACAAUACUGCUCAUUUCAGGACACACAAUCUGUCUCCCUUUGCCUCCAUUACAUGUUUCUGGCCCCCAGAUGCCCCAUUGAUGAAGCCAGACCACCGUCCUUUCCCGGAGCAGCACCCUGCCCUGCUGGCUCCCUUCCUUCCCGGCUCCAAAUACUCUUCUCUGCCAGGGCACUUCAGGUCAGCCGCAGCUCCCCCUUGAACGGCACAGCCCACACCCACUUCGGUACUCAGACGCAAAGGCCCUGGGGCCAGCCCCCAGAUUCCUGGGAAGGUGCACACUGAGACCGGGGGCUCCUGUCUGCUCCUCACCCCACCAGUGUGCUGAAGGACUUAUCCAAGUAUUUCUUCCAAACCAGUCCAGUGCUCAGCCUACCAGAAAACCUACAGAAAGAAAUUUCCUUCGUCUCCAUACAAACGGGACUGUGUCAAAUUUCCAGCCUGGCUGUGGUUCGUUGGAUGUCACCACACAUGGCCCAGGUGGAAAACCUCCAAAUUCAGAACAUCUACCCCUCCAGGCCACUAGCCAAUAGGCCUGGUGUCCAGAGGGGUUGGAUUGAAGGGUCCCUUGGCAGCAGGAGGUCCCCCUCUCACUCUCCAUGUGUUUUUCAUGUGGUUUCAUUGACUCCCGAGCCCCUACUCAGCAGUCCUGGAGAGCUCUGGCUCCAAGACUCUGGGACUCUGCUGUUAAAAGCCCCUCUCGGAGCUGGGGCCUGCUGUAUUCUGUAGGUUGCCAAGUGUCACCUGCAAAGUGGAGAGCACAAUCUUGACGUGUUAGUCUCGGCUGCUGGGAUACGGAGGGGAGGGGAGCAGCUCCAGAGAGCAGCUGUCCAGGCCCCUACUGUGUGCACCCAGUGUCCUGGCCUCAGCUUCCUGGAACUACCACUGCCAGCUCUGCCCUGACUCCUUGUUUGGGCCAUAUUUGCCUGAGCCCAGGGGAUGGACAAGGUUCAUGUCACUUUUCCUGGACAGCUUUUCAGCCCCUAGGCGCUGCAAAUCCUCAGGGGGAGGGGUGACUUAACUCUAUUUACCAGAAACUUCUGAGCCCAGACAAGAUAUGUACACACUGCACCAUACUCCACAUCUCUGCCUGCUUUGACACCUCCCCCCAGGAUCUUGGCAGGAUCCUGGGACCUGGCCCAGGGAGUCAGAGACCCAGGCCAUUCCCCUGACAUGCUGAACGAGGGAAGAGGGGGGUCACAGAGCCAGAAGCUGGGGCACGUAUCUGUGCCCCUCCACCUCUCCUCCUUGCUGGAGAGUUCUCUCUCAUGGGCAGGCCCGGAGGCCUGGGAUUGAGCCCUCACUCACUGCCCAGCGAGCCUGUGUGAGCCCAGACUCUUCGAUGCUAGCAAAGCGACCAGCGUGCACAUGCUCAGCAAAGAAGGGGCCUUUACUCUAUACUCGCAGAGGUAUUUUAGAAAGCCCAGGGCAGCGUGUAGCCACCCUGGGAGGGCUGGAAUCAGACCCUCAGGGGGCACCCUGCCCUGGGGCUUAGCUCUCUGCAGGCCACCCAUUCCAGGCCUGGCCACUGAGGGAACUGACUUCCAGUCGCUCCCACUCAGAGCCACAGGGCAGAGCCCAGAGGAAAAGAGCCCCAAGUGCGGAGCUGAAGGGUUUCAUCGCUGGAGUCCUGCAGCUCUGGGCGAAGCCAGCUCCUCCUCUGCCUUAACCUGUGAUGUGAGCCAACGAAGUCCCUUUGCCUUAAACUGUUUAAUAUUUCACUUAUUUAUUUAUUUAUUUAUUUUUGAGUAAGCGCUCCACCCUACGUGGGGCUCAAACUCAGGACCCAGAGAGGCGCACGCUCCACCGACCCCGCCGGCCCGGCGCCCCUUAGGUAUGCUCUCUUUUCAUGAAAUCAAGCAGCCCCUGGGAGACCAAAAUCCAGUGCUUUCACCUCUGCAUGGACUCUGAAUUGGGAAAACAGAUGGAUCUGAAUCCCUCACACAACAUGAGAUUUGGACAGUGACCAGAACCCAACUUUCCUGUUUAAUGCUUGUAUCCCACAAAUGUUCAAGGAUUUGAAGGAAUUUUUACACUAUAACUAAAGAAUGAUGGCAGUUUAUUUACUAACUUUAUCAAGAAAUAUCUACUUGUCCCAGCAUCAGGCACAAUCACAAAGAUGUUACAUGUCAGAAACCAACCUAAGUGUUUGACAACUUAAAGUACUGGUAAGAAGCUACCUCUGGAUUAUAAAAUUAACAUAACAUUUUAAAUUAAUA